rfam:Populus trichocarpa isolate Nisqually-1 chromosome 4, whole genome shotgun sequence.
UCUAGAACUCGAGAUAUGGGCUGAACACUGAACAAUGUCUAGGUUAUAAGACAGAUUCCGACUUCUCUGUUGUUGCUACAAUUUGAACUUCAAAACGACUUUUUUGAAUCUUGGACUCUCAUGAAAGUUUUAGGUCUAUGUCUUAGCUUUCCAUC